AACGAACGCUGGCGGCAUGCCUAACACAUGCAAGUCGAACGAGACGUUCGGGUCUAGUGGCGCACGGGUGCGUAACGCGUGGGAACCUGCCCUUAGGUUCGGAAUAACUCCCCGAAAGGGGUGCUAAUACCGGAUAAUGUCUUCGGACCAAAGAUUUAUCGCAUUUGGAUGGGCCCGCGUUGGAUUAGCUAGUUGGUAGGGUAAAAGCCUACCAAGGCGACGAUCAAUAGGUUGUCUGUGAGGAUGAUCAGCAACACCGGGACUGGGACACGGCCCAGACUCCUACGCGAUGCACCAGUGCUUGAUGUUGGACCGUCGCCGGAGUCCUGAUCCAGCUCUGCCGCUUAAGUUAUGUAGUCCUUAGGGUUGUAAAGCUCUUUUACCCGUGAUGAUAUUGACGGUACCUGGAGAAUAAGCUCCGGCUAACUCCGUG
rnacentral:rRNA from 1 species